rnacentral:lncRNA from 10 species
AGCUUUGGGGUGUUUCCUCAAAUUCUCUAAUUGGGGGACCCCUGCAAAAGAGUGUCACUAAGAAGAAAGGUAUUGGGUUGGUGCAAAAGUAAUUGCUGUUUUUACCAUUAAAAGUAAUGGCAAAACUGUAAUUACUUUUGCAUCAACCUAAUAUCUUGAUAAUCUGGGAUGGAAUAAGAGUAGGUGGCAGCUGCAGCAUGGGCACUCCCAAAGGCUCCAAGAGGUACCCAGAGCAGGGAGGUGCAUUGCAGCAGAGCAGUUGGAACAGCCUGGACUCUGACCCGAGAGGAGUGUGGAACGAACCCUGGAACUCCAGCAGGCACAGCUUUGCUUCUGUGAAGUGGGGAGCAUGUCUAGAGCUCUGUGGUUCAAAGAUUCUGGACACAUUUGAAAGGUGAAAGAAGCCAGGACACCUGGAGCAUUGCAAGCAACGAGCAGAGUGAUGGAGAUGAGGCUGGAGAGCAAGGCAGGAGCUGGGUCAUGUGGUGCCUGGGAGCUGACAGGACCAGGAAGAGGAUUGCUGUGCGAUCAUCACCACCGUCUAGUUUCAAAACAUUUUCAGCACCAAAACGGAAGCCCCAUGCCCCUUAAGCAGUCACUCUCCAUUCUUCCUGCCGCCAGCCCAUGGCAACCAGUAAUCUGCUUUUUAUCUCUAUAGGAUUUCUAGGACUAAUUUUACUUUCCAGGCCUGCCUUCCCCUCCAGCUGCAUCUUGUUCUGUUCUCCCUUCUGAUUUGGUCUUUGUCCAUUUCUUUACAAAUGCAUGAGUUUUGGGAUCAUGGACUUGUGUGCAUGCCAACACUCACUGGCCUUCACCUAUGAUCUGGAUACAACAUCCUUCCUGACUCCAUCCCAGGUUCUGAGAACCUUCCUGGAAUUGGCCUUCCAGACUGAGCCUUAUGCUUGUACAGCUGGGCUGGGUUGGCCUGGUUCUGGGAGUGGAGGAGAUGGAGAUGUGUGUGGAAGUCCUUGGGAAACUAUACAGUGCAGCACAGGGCUGGGAAUGGUUACCUGCUCCAGGCAGGUGGUUCCUCCACAACACAUAGCAACUGGCUGCCUUUGGAGUAUAGACCAGGGGUCUCUCUCCAAGUAAGCAAAGACAUGGGAGAGCCUAAAAUGCAGUCAGUGGAGGUGAGCAGCUUCUGCCGAAGAGACCCGAGCGGGGAGUUUUACCAGCACAUGGUCUUCAUGGGUGUGGUUCUGGUGCGUUUCUCUUGGCCCAUAGCUGAGAGGGCAGCAGAGUGGGAGUGGGGCUGUCUGCCAGGGCUGGGAUCCUGGGACUGCUGCUGACUCCUACCCACUUCACAGGAGUGUCAUGAGGACCAAAGGGUGUGUGUGACAGAGCUUGGGGAAGGCAUAAAUUGCUGUUGUACAAGUGUAAGGUAGGACAUUUUUAUACGGGUAAUAAUUGUGAAGUUUCUAGCUCUUGCCUGAUAUCUCCAGCCGGCAUAUGUGAUUGAUGUGAGGGGCUGGCCAGGAGCCUCAGAGUCUUUUACUCACUCUGUCAUUCAUGUGUUCACUCACUCAUGCAUUCUUCCACUCAUUUAUUCCUUUACUUAUUCACUCACUCAUGCAUUCAUUCAUGAAUUUAUUCAUUAAUUCACUCACUCACUAACAUUUAUUCACUCAUUCAUUCAUUCACUCAUUUAUUCACUUAUUCCUUCACUCACUAACUCAUUUAUUCAUUCACUCACUAAUUCAUUUAUUUAUUCAUUCACUUACUUGCUAACUUUUAUUCACUCAUUCAUUCACUCGCUCACAGACUCAUUCACUCACUAACUCAUUUGUUCACUCUUUCAGUCACUAAUUCAUUCACUCACUCACUCAUUCAUUUACUUACUUGCUGACUCUUUUAUUCACUCUCUCAUUCAUUCACUCAUUCAUUUAUUCACUCACCCACUCAUUUAUUCACUCACUCGCUGAAUCUUUUAUUCACUCAUUCAUUCAUUAAUUCACUUACUAACUCAUUUACUCAUUCAUUCAUUCACUCAGUCACUAAGUCAUUCGGUCACUAAGUCAUUCACUCACUCGUUCAUUUACUCACUUGUUCACUUUUUUAUUCACUCAUUCAUUCACUCACUUGCUGAAUCUUUUAUUCACUCAUUCAUUCAUUCACUCACUUGCUGACUCUUAUUCACUCAUUCGUUCUUUCCUUGCUCAUGGUUUAGAUCUGCACUGUCCAAUAUGGCAGCCACUAGCCAUGUGUAGUUGUUGAAAGCUUGAAAUGUG